ensembl:lncRNA
CUUACAAAAGUUUAAAUGAGAGAGUGGCUUUGAAAACAGGCAGUGGACAGAAGUGGAAAGACUUCGAGGAAAGUGUCAGUGAAAGCCUGAAGAACCUGCUAAGUAGAAGCCUUUGUGGAGGCCACAGAGUACCACCUGGCCUACAGCCUUGAAUGACUGAUCUUCAUAACAUGUUAUCCCACUUCUUGAUCAUGGCUACUGGACCAGUGACCGACACCUGCUCAAGACUGGCCAAUCAUAUUUCCUCUUCCAUGCCUCUGGAAUCUGAACACUAAAAUGUUACUACACUUGGCAGCAAACCAAGGAGAGGUCAUGCAGAGCAAAGACUGCCAACUAGGAGUGAUAUAAACCAAUUGCGAUAAUUAAGAUCACCUGUUCUGGGGGAAGCCCGAUGCUAUUUCGUAAGGAGACUCAAGCAGCCCUAUGGAUAGGGCCACACAGCAAGAAACUGAGGCCUCUUGCCAACAACCAGCAGCAACUGGCUAGGUAUGUGAGUGAGCUGGCUUGGAAGCAGAUAUUUCAGACCCAGAGAAAUCUCCAGAUGACUACAGCCCCAGCUGACAUCUUGACUGCAGCCUCGUGAAAGACUGCGAGCCAGAAAUGCAGAGAAAAUACAGACAUUAAAUAUACAAUUACAAGUAUGAUGGCUGCCCAGAGGUCCCAAGACCAGACCCAAGAAAUGGCUCUCAGAGAAACCCUGACAGAUCCACACUCAACUCUACCUGAGCCGCAAGCUAAAACUUACCUCCAAGAGCUCAUUUCUCUGAGGCAUACAAAGGAAGCUUUCAAAGAACUUAGUAUCUGAUUGGGGGAAAACAAAACUGAUCUAGAGUUGGUGUCAUUGCAGAAAAAUUUUUCUGUGCUUAGAAACCAGAAUUACAGAAAGGCAUACAAAUGCACAGAUGGGUGAGCAACUAUUAGAGAAGGAAGACUUCGGGGAGUCAUAAAAAAAGGAUUAAUUCUGAAUAGAAAAAGGAAAUUACCCUAAAGGCUAGGUUGACAGAACCUGCCCUGUUUGGAACAUGCAUGUCUGAUGACAGACAAAGAAGAAUAAUUCACAGGACCGUGCAAUGGCUCCUACAGCUGCUACUCAGAAGUGACUUACGUAACUUUCAUUCACAUUUCAUCACGCAAAGCAAUUUACAAGCCAAGCCUGCUCUCAGGGGAGUACAGAGGUGGACUUCUCUUAGGGAGAGAGACAACAAUCCUUGGGAAUUCUAUUACUGAAGGUUUAGACAAGUGGAAAUAGGGAAUAAUAUUCUAGAUAGAGUAAUGUUCUAAAUUUGACUCCCAUCACCGUAAACAGCAACCAUUUAAGCACUUAUUGAGAGUGGAAUUUCAAGUCAAUAUGGAGCAUUCUUUAAGAGAUUCAAAAAGGACAAUGGUUUGGGAAUAUUUGUAGGCUGAUCUGACAUAGUCAGUUUAAGAGAGAGGCAGUGAAUGAGAGGGGACUAGAAAAGAGAGACUGACUCAGACUUGCAUAGAAUGGGAAAUUUCUCCUCCCUACUGUGUGCCUAAGUGUCUGGCAAUAGUAACUAUACAAUUUAGACAGUGACACCAAACACUGCCAUCUGCUCUGAUCGACUUUCAUGACUUUGAGCUGGGCUGGGCAUCCAAAACCACCUGUCUAAGCUCACAGCCCUCAGAUCUGAGUAAAUUGGCCACUCACUGUCCUCAGCAUUGAAGCAAGAAAGGCAAUUCUUCCAUUAGCGCCACUUUUUCUCUAAAGCAACCUACACAGCUGAAGUGAUUUUUCCCUUGGAGAACAACUGAGCCCCUGAAGGGUUGAAAUUGCCUUAAGGUUACUUUCUGAGUUUGAUCCUGGGAUCAAGAAUAAAACAUGGGCUGUUUUCUUUAAUUUUACAGCGAGCUCUCCCUCCAAGGAGACUUCAUCUAAGCUAUCUACACAGUGCCAAAGUAUCCUGUGAAUAAAGCAGAAAUACUAGGCAAACUGAAAUUUGGUUUUGACAUCAGAU